rnacentral:rRNA from 1 species
UAACACAUGCAAGUCGAACGAAGUCUUCGGACUUAGUGGCGGACGGGUGAGUAACACGUGGGAACGUGCCUUUAGGUUCGGAAUAACUCAGGGAAACUUGUGCUAAUACCGAAUGUGCCCUUCGGGGGAAAGAUUUAUCGCCUUUAGAGCGGCCCGCGUCUGAUUAGCUAGUUGGUGAGGUAAAGGCUCACCAAGGCGACGAUCAGUAGCUGGUCUGAGAGGAUGAUCAGCCACACUGGGACUGAGACACGGCCCAGACUCCUACGGGAGGCAGCAGU